rnacentral:rRNA from 1 species
AACGAACGCUGGCGGCAGGCUUAACACAUGCAAGUCGAGCGCCCCGCAAGGGGAGCGGCAGACGGGUGAGUAACACGUGGGAACGUACCUUUUGCUACGGAAUAGCUCCGGGAAACUGGAAUUAAUACCGUAUGUGCCCUUCGGGGGAAAGAUUUAUCGGCAAAAGAUCGGCCCGCGUCUGAUUAGCUAGUUGGUGGGGUAAUGGCCUACCAAGGCGACGAUCAGUAGCUGGUCUGAGAGGAUGAUCAGCCACACUGGGACUGAGACACGGCCCAGACUCCUACGGGAGGCAGCAGUGGGGAAUAUUGGACAAUGGGCGCAAGCCUGAUCCAGCCAUGCCGCGUGAGUGAUGAAGGCCUUAGGGUUGUAAAGCUCUUUCGCUAGGGAAGAUAAUGACGGUACCCGGAGAAGAAGCCCCGGCUAACUCUGUGCCAGCCGCCGCGGUAAUAC